UACGUAGGGGGCAAGCGUUAUCCGGAAUUAUUGGGCGUAAAGAGUACGUAGGUGGCAACCUAAGCGCAGGGUUUAAGGCAAUGGCUCAACCAUUGUUCGCCCUGCGAACUGGGAUGCUUGAGUGCAGGAGAGGAGAGCGGAAUUCCUAGUGUAGCGGUGAAAUGCGUAGAUAUUAGGGGGAACACCAGUGGCGAAGGCGGCUUUCUGGACUGUAACUGACACUGAGGUACGAAAGCGUGGGGAGCAAACAGG
rnacentral:rRNA from 1 species